GUUGAAAUAUUUUUUUUUAAUCAAAGGAAUUAAUAAAUAAGAACUUUCGUCUAAAUUUGAAUGAAUAGUUUCACAAUAUUUGGGCGCCGAGUUAAUUUGAGACAUUAAAAAGAAGAAUAUAUUUGCAUGGCCGUUCUUAGUUGGUGGAGCGAUUUGUCUGGUUAAUUCCGAUAACGAACGAGACUUUAACCUGCUAAAUAGUAGACUGGUCCUCUGUGCUCGUUUAGGGCGCGGCUUCUAUUGCUUCUUUAUGGAGUAGUGUGGUCGUGAUCCGGCGGGUGCGGUGCCAGUUUUUACUUCUUAGAGGGACAAGCGGCACACUUAAGUCGCACGAAAUUGAGCAAUAACAGGUCUGUGAUGCCCUUAGAUGUCCGGGGCCACACGUGCGCUACAAUGACGGUGCCAGCGAGUCUGGGAACCUGGCUCGAAAGGGUUGGGCAAACUGUUUCAUCACCGUCGUGACUGGGAUCGGGGCUUGCAAUUAUUCCCCGUGAACGAGGAAUUCCUGGUAAGUGCAAGUCAUAAGCUUGCGCUGAUUACGUCCCUGCCCUUUGUACACACCGCCCGUCGCUACUACCGAUUGAAUGGUUUAGUGAGGUCGUUGGAUUGGUGUCGUUGUAGUGGCGUUGCCGCUCGACUGAUGCUGAGAAGAUGACCUAAUUUGACUAUUUAGAGGAAGUAAAAGUCGUAACAAAGUUUCCGUAGGUGAACCUGCGGAAG
rnacentral:ncRNA from 1 species